rnacentral:rRNA from 1 species
UACGUAGGGUGCGAGCGUUGUCCGGAUUUAUUGGGCGUAAAGAGCUCGUAGGCGGUUUGUCGCGUCGGCCGUGAAAUCUCCACGCUUAACGUGGAGCGUGCGGUCGAUACGGGCAGACUUGAGUUCGGUAGGGGAGACUGGAAUUCCUGGUGUAGCGGUGAAAUGCGUAGAUAUCCGGAGGAACACCGGUGGCGAAGGCGGCUUCCUGGACCGACACUGACGCUGAGGCGCGAAAGCUAGGGGAGCAAACGGG